rnacentral:rRNA from 1 species
AUACGGAGGGUCCGAGCGUUAAUCGGAAUUACUGGGCGUAAAGCGCGCGUAGGUGGUUCAGUCAGUCAGAUGUGAAAGCCCCGGGCUCCACCUGGGAACUGCACCUGAUACUGCUGAGCUAGAGUACGGUAGAGGGCAGUGGAAUUUCCGGUGUAGCGGUGAAAUGCGUAGAGAUCGGAAGGAACACCAGUGGCGAAGGCGACUGCCUGGACUGAUACUGACACUGAGGUGCGAAAGCGUGGGUAGCAAACAGGAUUAGAUACCCUGGUAGUCCACGCCGUAAACGAUGUCAACUAGCCGUUGGGGGACUUGAUCCUUUAGUGGCGAAGCUAACGCGAUAAGUUGACCGCCUGGGGAGUACGGCCGCAAGGUUAAAACUCAAAUGAAUUGACGGGG